AUGCGCUGCCUGACUAUACCAACUUCGGGCCCUGGCCCAGGCUGCACGUGCAGGGCAUCCCACUGGCCCAAGCCUCCACAGCAGCACAGUGGCAGCGACCCACAAGUUCGUGAACAUGCGGGAACCCUCGAUGGACACGAAGGCGGUGACCGACAGGGCGGCUCAGACCCUGCUGUGGACUGAGCUCAUCCGAAGCCUGGGCAUGACCCUGAGCUACCUGUUCCGGGAGCCUGCCACCAUCAACUACCGAUUCGAGAAGGGCCCACUGAGCCCUUGCUUUCGGGGAGAGCAUGCGCUGCGUCGGUACCCAUCGGGAGAGGAGCGCUGCAUCGCCUGUAAGCUCUGUGAGGCUGGCUGCCCCGCCCAGGCCAUCACCACCGAGGCCGAGCAGCGCGCGGGCGGAUGGCAGCCUCCGGACCACCCGCUACGACAUCGCCAUGACCAAGAGCAGCUACUGCGGCUUCUGCCAGGAGGCCUGCCCCGUGGACGCCAUCGUCGAGGGCCCCAACUUCGAGUUCUCCACCGAGACGCACGAGGAGCUCCUGUACGACAAGGAGAAGCUGCUCAGCAACGGGGACAAGUGGGAGGCCGAGAUCGCCGCCAACAUCCAGGCCGACUACCUCUACCGCUGAC